rnacentral:rRNA from 1 species
CCGUGCCUCGCCUUCCACCACGGCGCGGGUCGACCCACGGUGACCUUCGAUGUGUCGGAGAAAAAGCCAAUCGCCGGCUACAUCGACGAGCUGGAGAACAAGGAGAUCUGUCCAGCCACGCACGGCUUUAUGCUAGCCAGGUGCCCUGCCUCCAUGUCCACCUUCCUGUGGACUCCCCAGAGCCGCGCAAGAUCGAGCUGCCGCCGUUGCCUCGAGCCUUACGCCACCUUCAUAUGGUACUGUCACAUCGGAGACGAUCAGUGGCGAAAACACGACUAUGACAUCGGAACCCAGCCGGCCCUCGACCUGCAGUCCGAGGACAAAGAGGUCAUAACUCCGAUUGCGGCAUGUGGGGGCAAGUUUUAUUUCAACAGCACACAAAUCGAGCUUGGUGUUCUUGAUUUCUGCCCUGCUCCCGUAUUCAGUUCCAUCAAGAUCAACGACGUGGUCGAUGAUAUCUACGUUUUUCUGGUGGAAUCGGACGGGGAGCUCUAUAUGGUUUCCCUGUUAUGGGCGGAAACAAUUUAUGGUGCAAGAGUUCAUAGGAUGGAUUUCUCAAAGCAGAGAUGGAGAAAAGUGUAUGAUCUUGGUGAUCGAACGUUCCUAUUGUCCCUGUUCAACUUUGGUGCUCUCUGCUCUGUCGGCAAGUCUGGACUGCGAGAGAACUGCAUCUACAUGGCGUAUCCUUGGGAGCAGACCGUGCACAUUUUCAGUGUAAAAGAUGGUAGUAUGGAGACGCACAAGCUGGAUGAUGCUCCCUCCUCAGAUAAAGCAUUCUGGAUGCUCCCUGCCAAUCAUAUAGAUUAG